AAAAUCCUGCCUGGUGCGUGGACCGUUGCAAAUUAACCCUACAAUGUACAAAUCGGGAGCCCCAACUCCGGCGACGGAUUGCAGACCUCCCGGCCUCUGGCUGGAAGAAGGGAGCAUGAAAGCGUUGGGUAGGCACCCACCUGCUUUUCAGUAGCAGGUUUAUUUCGCACGAUACGGCCAGGCGGGCCUUUU
rnacentral:other from 1 species